rnacentral:rRNA from 1 species
GUGGGGAAUCUUCCGCAAUGGACGAAAGUCUGACGGAGCGACGCCGCGUGAGUGAAGAAGGCCUUCGGGUCGUAAAGCUCUGUCAUCAGGGACGAACGGCCGGUGGAGUGGAAAGCCACCGGAUUGACGGUACCUGAGAAGGAAGCCACGGCUAACUACGUGCCAGCAGCCGCGGUAAUACGUAGGUGGCGAGCGUUGUCCGGAAUUAUUGGGCGUAAAGCGCGCGCAGGUGGGAUCUUAAGUCUGUUCUGAAAGUUCGGAGCUUAACUCCGUGAUGGGAUGGAAACUGGGAUUCUUGAGUAUCGGAGAGGAAAGCGGAAUUCCCCGUGUAGCGGUGAAAUGCGUAGAUAUGGGGAGGAACACCAGUGGCGAAGGCGGCUUUCUGGACGAUGUCUGACACUGAGGCGCGAAAGCCAGGGGAGCGAACGGGAUUAGAAACCCGAGUAGUCC